AUGGUGGGCCCGCAAAGGAAAAAGCCCGGGCUCCCCAUAGCGAGAUCUUUGCUUAGCACUUUUAUCGCCGAUCCUCCGCCUUCCUCUCAUCCUCAGGCUCAUCGAGGUAGAGGAAAAGGCCGGGGAAGAGGUGCACGUGGAGCAAAUGCUAAGAGAAACCCGGUUCGGCCAGUGUCUCACACCCCUGUGGUGGAGGAAGAGUGGUUGUCGUCGGAGGCUUCUGACGAGGAGGCCCCGACGUCUGACAAGGAGGCCUCGACCUCUGACGAGGAGCAUGCUGGUUUCAUCCAAGUUGAGGAGGGUCGGUCCGUGUACCUACGUGGUUCCUCAAGGCUCCCGGAACGAGGGCUUCCUGUGGAGCAGAGGCCAUGUAUUGCUCCAUGUGGAGAAAUCGGUUGGAAGAAAGCUGGAGCUAGCACGGGAAAGUACCGACACGUGAACGACGUCCUUGGGAGCCUCAUUAAGGAGCAUUACCCUGGCAUGGUUACUUUGCCUGGGGAGGGCAAAGUUCCGGAGCCAGCAUGUACCUGGGACCACUACAAAGCCUAUGAGGAUCUUGGUGUAGCCAACAACAUCGAGUUUCACAACAAAGCCGAGCGGGUCUUUGCCGAACUUUGGGAUUUCUAUAGAUGCGAGGAUGGAAAGUUGGAGGAGGCACGAGCAGUUGUCAACAAACAUUGCCCGAAGCUUGUGCAUAAUCUGAUGCAUGAGGCGCGCCCUUUAGCCGUCCGCAAAUAUAUGGCAACUCAAGGCUAUAAGAGUCUUGAUAAGAAAGCUGGUAGGAGACUCCGUCUUGAGAAGGACAAGUACAUGCAGGUUACUCCGAGAUGGUGCGUCGAUAAGGGGGAGUGUUGGGAGCGGAUCGUGGACUAUUGGUGUUCCAAAGAGUACAGGGCGAAAAAGGCGUCUCACCAUAAUGCUCCAGUGCCCAACCUUUUUGUCUCGUAUGCUUUGGCCCAUAAGGCACCGUACAGAACAGCCACGCCUUACGAUGAGAAUGACACAGCGUCGGCGUACUCCAGCAAGACCGCCUACGAUCGGAUGGAGAAAUUUAAAGGGGUGGCAAAAGAGUUGAAAGGGCCCGAGUAUGAUGUGACAACAGAGCCUCUUGACCACGCUUUGGUCAUGAUCUCUGGAGAAGGCAGGAAACAUGGCAAGGAAGCAAUUGCAGGAGGCAUGUUCCCUAGCUCCUCCCGUAGCUCUCUCCUUGAAUACAAAGCUCGGUUACGUAUCUCAAAAUCUUCUACACAUAAACGCUCGACUCCAGCUAUGGUUGAGAUGGAGAUGCAAUUGCCAUGCCAUAUUUUGCAGGCCCGACUGGCGGAGGAGAGGCGAGUGGCGGUAGAGGAGAGGGCGGAGGAGAGGCGAGUGGCGGCGGAGGAGAGGGCGGAGGAGAGGCGACUGGCUGAUGAGAGGAUGCAGCAAGCGGUGCAGCAGGCGGUGUUGGCACAAACUAGUCAAUGCUUUGCAAUGUUUGCGAUGCCUCAAUCAGGCCAUGGAUCUAAUGCUGAUGGAUCUUCACAUGCACGAGGCCCAAGCGACAACAACCUUGGUGGUUCUCCGAAUGUUUGA
rnacentral:rRNA from 1 species